GAUGAAGAACGUAGCGAAAUGCGAUAAGUAGUGUGAAUUGCAGAAUUCAGUGAAUCAUCGAAUCUUUGAACGCACAUUGCGGCCAUAGGUAUUCCUUUGGCCAUGCCUGUUCGAGCGUCAUUUACACCCUCAAGCCUAGCUUGGUGUUGGGCGUCUGUCCCGCCGUUUUCGCGCGCGGACUCGCCUCAAAGUCAUUGGCGGCGGUCGUGCCGGCCCCCUCGCGCAGCACAUUUGCGCUUCUCGGAGGCCCGGCGGAUCCGCGCUCCAGCAAGACCUUUCACGACUUGACCUCGGAUCAGGUAGGGAUACCCGCUGAACUUAAGAAUAUCAAUAAGCGGAGGA
rnacentral:misc_RNA from 1 species